GGGGGCUUAGCUCAGCCGGUAGAGCACCUGCCCUGCAAGCAGGGGGUCAGCGGUUCGAUCCCGCUAGCCUCCACCA
rnacentral:tRNA from 1 species